GUGCCAGCAGCCGCGGUAAGACAGAGGAUGCAAGCGUUUCCGGAAAUGAUUGGGCGUAAAGCGUCUGUAGGUGGCUUUCUAAGUCCGCCGUCAAAUCCCAGGGCUCAACCCUGGACAGGCGGUGGAAACUACCAAGCUGGAGUACGGUAGGGGCAAAGGGAAUUUCCGGUGGAGCGGUGAAAUGCGUAGAGAUCGGAAAGAACACCAAUGGCGAAAGCACUUUGCUGGGCCGACACUGACACUGAGAGACGAAAGCUAGGGGAGCAAAUGGGAUUAGAUACCCCAGUAGUCC
rnacentral:rRNA from 1 species